rnacentral:rRNA from 1 species
UGGGGAAUAUUGGGCAAUGGGCGGAAGCCUGACCCAGCAACGCCGCGUGAAGGAAGAAGGCUUUCGGGUUGUAAACUUCUUUUAAGAGGGACGAAUAAAGUGACGGUACCUCUUGAAUAAGCCACGGCUAACUACGUGCCAGCAGCCGCGGUAAUACGUAGGUGGCAAGCGUUAUCCGGAUUUAUUGGGUGUAAAGGGCGUGUAGGCGGGACUGCAAGUCAGAUGUGAAAACUCAGGGCUCAACCCUGAGCCUGCAUUUGAAACUGUAGUUCUUGAGUGCUGGAGAGACAAUCGGAAUUCCGUGUGUAGCGGUGAAAUGCGUAGAUAUACGGAGGAACACCAGUGGCGAAGGCGGAUUGCUGGACAGUAACUGACGCUGAGGCGCGAAAGCGUGGGGAGCAAACAGGAUUAGAUACC